rnacentral:tRNA from 1 species
CCCUGGGUGGUGCAAAUGGUUAACGUACUUGGCUGCUAACCAAAAGGUUGGUGGUUCAAGUCCACCCAGAGGUG